AAGGUCUUAGCUUAAUUAAAGUGUCUGGGUUGCAUUCAGGGGAUGUGGGGUAGAGUCUUACAGGUCUUG
rnacentral:tRNA from 1 species